AAGGCGAGAGCACAGUGGUUCGUCAUUGUUCGUAAUAUUCAGACCUUGCUGACACAAAAGACACGCAGAAUGGAUCGCUUUUGUACAGAAGAUGGCCUCAAUAGAAAGGUGAUGAAGGAAACUGUUUGAAUCACUUUGCCCAAUUGAUGGGGCCUCCACACCAGCUCUACUGCGCUCCUCCUCUUGACUCAGGUUCUGCACCAGGCCAGCAUACUGAUCAGACAGCCGGUUCAAGCCAAGAGAGGCCAAGCUCCCACCAACCCAAGGGGCUAAUGCAG